GUGCAGCCAUGGAGACCUCUGGGCACAGGCAGUGGCAGUGCAAGUUUCCCCAACUUUCCUCAGUCCCAGUCUGGAGGGACCUGAGUCUAGGUGAGAAAGGGUAGUUCAGUCUCCAUAACCACGCAGUCCUGGAUCUCU
rnacentral:sRNA from 1 species